UACAGAGGUCUCAAGCGUUGUUCGGAUUCAUUGGGCGUAAAGCGAACGUAGGCGGCUAUGUAAGUCGGGUGUGAAAGCCCAGAGCUCAACUCUGGAAGUGCAUUCGAAACUGCAUGGCUUGAGUAGCGGAGAGGAUAGCGGAAUUCCCGGUGUAGAGGUGAAAUUCGUAGAUAUCGGGAGGAACACCAGUGGCGAAGGCGGCUAUCUGGACGCAUACUGACGCUGAAGUUCGAAAGCGUGGGGAGCAAACAGG
rnacentral:rRNA from 1 species